UGGGCUUGACAUGUAGAGAAAAGCCGUAGAGAUACGGUGUCCUUCGGGGCUCUACACAGGUGGUGCAUGGUUGUCGUCAGCUCGUGUCGUGAGAUGUUGGGUUAAGUCCCGCAACGAGCGCAACCCUUGUCCUAUGUUGCCAGCGCGUAAUGGCGGGGACUCGUAGGAGACUGCCGGGGUCAACUCGGAGGAAGGUGGGGAUGACGUAGACCUUGGACC
rnacentral:misc_RNA from 1 species